UGGGGAAUCUUGGACAAUGGGCGCAAGCCUGAUCCAGCCAUGCCGCGUGAGUGAAGAAGGCCUUCGGGUUGUAAAGCUCUUUUACCAGGGACGAUAAUGACGGUACCUGGAGAAUAAGCCCCGGCAAACUUCGUGCCAGCAGCCGCGGUAAUACGAAGGGGGCUAGCGUUGUUCGGAAUCAUUGGGCGUAAAGGGCGCGUAGGUGGCUGUAUAAGUCAGAUGUGAAAUCCUAGAGCUCAACUCUAGAAGUGCAUCUGAUACUGUAUAGCUUGAGUCUCAGAGAGGAUGGAGGAAUUCCCAGUGUAGAGGUGAAAUUCGUAGAUAUUGGGAGGAACAUCGGUGGCGAAGGCGUCCAUCUGGAUGAAGACUGACACUGAGGCGCGAAAGCGUGGGGAGCAAACAGGAUUAGAUACCCCUGUAGUCCCUGAGCGGGCUGGCAAGGCGCAU
rnacentral:rRNA from 1 species